CAACUACUCCCUCCGUCCCAAAAUUCUUGUCUUAGAUUUGUCUAGAUACGGAUGUAUCUAAUACUAAAAUGUAACUAGAUACAUCUAUAUCUAGACAUAUUUAAGACAAGAAUUUUGGGAUAGAGGGAGUAUUUU
rnacentral:pre_miRNA from 1 species